AAUGUACUCCCUCCGAUCCAUAUUAAUUGUCUCAAAUUUGCCCAAAUAUGGAUGUAUCUAUGCCUAAAAAGCGUCUAGAUACAUGUAAUAUUUUGACAACUAAUAUGGAUCGGAGGGAGCACAAU
rnacentral:pre_miRNA from 1 species